CCUCUUCGAUCUGCUGCGGGCAGAUGAAGUGGAUGUGGGUGUCGAUGCCGCCGGCGGUGAGGAUCAUGCCCUCGCCGGCGAUCACUUCGGUGCUGGCGCCGACGGCGAUGGUCACGUCGGGCUGGAUGUCCGGGUUGCCGGCCUUGCCGAUGGCGGCAAUGCGGCCGUCCUUGAGGCCGACGUCUGCCUUGACCACGCCCCAGUGGUCGAGGAUCAGGGCGUUGGUGAUCAGGGUGUCGACCACAUCGGCCGCCAGCAGCUGGCCCUGGCCCAUGCCGUCGCGG
rfam:Pseudomonas resinovorans NBRC 106553 DNA, complete geonome.